rnacentral:rRNA from 1 species
UACGGAGGGGGUUAGCGUUGUUCGGAAUGACUGGGCGUAAAGGGCUCGUAGGCGGUCUGUCACGUCGGGAGUGAAAACUCAGGGCUUAACCCUGAGCCUGCUUCCGAUACGGGCAGACUAGAGGUAUGCAGGGGAGAAUGGAAUUCCUGGUGUAGCGGUGAAAUGCGCAGAUAUCAGGAGGAACACCGGUGGCGAAGGCGGUUCUCUGGGCAUUACCUGACGCUGAGGAGCGAAAGUGUGGGGAGCGAACAGG